CUGUGUUCGUGGGCCACCUCUUACCUUCAUUUCAGCAUUUCUGUUCUUUAUUAUUGAUUCAUUUUAAUGAAUCCUGUCUGUGUGUUGGACUUUUUCAUGAAGUUUUCUGUUUCCUGUAGGAUUUGUUCGCCUCUUUGGACUGCACGUCAUGGUUUUGUCUCCUGCCAGCCUCACUGCAAGGUGUAACCACUUACCAGCCUGAUUCAACCAUGAUCAGUGCUGUCAGUAGGAGGGGCAUCUUUCACCAUUCCUCUUUUGACCGAUCCAAGAACCAUUUGCCAACACAUCCAGUGAUUGGAGCAUAGGUUUCCAACCUGGGAUCCAGGACCCCUGAGGGGAUGCGCCAAAGAUCUUGGCCUAUUCUAAUGAAGUGGAGUAAUGAUCUCCACUAUCAGCAUCCAGCUGACUGCCACAGAUUGAUGUACAACACCAGAGACCGCCAGUGAGCCAGGAUACGCGCGUGACUCUUGGCGAACGUGAAUGCUUCGCCCUGUCAACCUCUGGCCCGCAGAUUCACACCUGACUUCUACCCCCCCUUCCCCCCCAUGGAUGAAAGUAGCGCUAUGAGAUGGAGUGGCCGGCCUUGGACAGAGCCCCCAGGGAUGAUCUGUUACAGCCUUCAGCACCUGGUCAUAGCGCGGGCCGCUGUGUCCGUGUCAGGGUUACUGUGCAGCAGCUGAAGAUUUGCAGCAGCAUUCUUCUAUUGAGGCGGCGAGGGCAUGGAGGUGACUCAGCCUCGCUCCUGAAGAAGGCUGUUGCAGAGGCAGUGAAUUAAUUUAAGAGGAGUCUGAGCAGGUUGUAUUGAAAUGUUCUGCUCUCACUAUUUUCCCAUCUGUCUCUUCAGAUUUCUUGUACAUCUCUUUCCUGGUAACUCUUUCCUUUUGAUAUGUGUUUAUUUGUGUGAUAACCAUGUACUCCCUGGUUUAUGCUGUCUACAAACAUGUAUUCUCUCCUCCCUGCUCUCAUCAGUAGUCUUGUCACUGGUGGCUGGCAGCUCUUACUCUCUGUUGUUUGUGUGAUCAUCACUGUAGGAGAGACAGUGUGGAUUUAUGAAGGAGACACAGCAGAGACAUUUCAUUUAUACAUUUUAAGACAUUGGAUAAACAGUACUGUGCAGAAGUUUUAGGCAUGUAGAGCGCUAACGGUUCUUCACAGGUCCUGAUGUUCCACAACCCCGGGCUGAAGAGAGGAGGAAGGGCGGCCAGAGUCAGUGUCGACACAUUUGACAUGUACGUGUGCUGCUCAGCAGCCAGGGUCGAGCUUAACUGCAUUACUUUUGUCCAGGCCUUUGCACCCAGGGGUGCCCAGCAACCACCAACAGUUUUCAGGUGCUUAGAACAUGCACAUGACAACCAGGGGGUUGUGGCAACCCUUACAGCACCUUAGGCUAUGUUUAAGUGCCACAUCUACCCAUAACUCCGUCCUAAAGCUAAAGGUUUUUGUUUUGUUUUCAUCAGAUUAUUUUCCCCUGCCCUUCGUAAUGUACAAAGACAUCCAGAGCAUGACCUGGGUUGUGUCAAUCCUCCUCCCCGCCCGAUGGGGCCCUUAGGUGGGCGUACUCGCCAUUACACGCCUUACUUCAGCCUCAAAUUAUGGCCCAAACAUGCCUAAAACUUCUGCACAGUACUGUAUUUAUAGUGUAUUUUAUUUAAAAUGUCCAUUUAUAACAUUAGGUGCCUUUAAAAGUGUGGAAGAACCUGUACAACCUCCCUGUACAAGCUACAAAUAUUUCCCAUCACAACCAAAAGCUCAUCACCUGCGCACCACUGAUAAAUGUUAUUGCCAUAUUCUUGUUAUCAGCCAUCUAUACAGUCUCCUCUUCACAGGGGCACAAACCGGAGAAAUAUAGCUGUGUGUUUGCUUACAGGUUAGCAUAAUGGAGGGGUCCCAUCCCUGUGUAAAUGAGACUGUUUACUCAUGCAUAUGAGUGUGUCACUGUUUGCAAUGAUGUGUGACAAUGCCUGCAUCAGUUUUUUGUAUCAUUGCCAAGCUGACGUUCUUCUGCUCCAACUGCGCUCACUUCUGUGCCUUUCUCCUUCAAUUUCCUUCCCUCCUCUUUUAAUGGAUUGUUUUUUAUUUUUCCUGUAUGUCUAAAACCAUCAUGCUUUCAAAAGGCUGAAAUUAUAGUGAUGGAUCGUGGCCAGGAAAGGAAGGAGAGGGUCAGAUAGGAGGAAGAUAGAGAGCAGCAAUGGCACUCUGUUGAGGAUGUUAGGAGAGGGUAGAGAGAGCAGGCAAAGCUGAGGUAAUUUGAAGAGUAAUGAAGAUAGAUUGAAGGGAGACAGAAGUUAAUAUAUCUGCCUUCAUCUAGGGUAUGAAAAUAUUAAAAAUAAGCCUACAAAUGGGCCAGCUCAAACUCCCAAUAUGCGAUAGUUCCACUAUCAUACAAGAUGAUGGAUCUUCAUUUUUUACACAUUUCAUGUGAUUUUUAUAGCAGCCCAGACAAUCUAUAAAUAAAUCUGAAUCAUAUCUGGUUAUGCCAAAACAGAUAUUGGACUGGUAGUCUCAGAAUAGUCUAACAGUCUACUGUCUUACUCGUGACUUUCAGCAAGCAUCAAGUGAUGUCUGCAUGCCAACAUGCUCUUGAUAACAAUGCUAAAUGAUGUGAUGAUGAUUAGACUCUGGCCCAUGAUACUGACUAUGCUCACAAACCUAUAACACAAGUAUACAACACAUUAAACCUCACAGAAAUGGACUAGUUAAGAUUUUAAAUUGGAUAUUGAUGCUAUGUGAAAGAGAAUGUGUGAACCCACUGUUUAUAAUCCAGCAACAGCGCAGCCUCAGUGAGUACCAGACAUUUUUAAGUGCAGCAAUCUCUUUUCAGACGGGGGGGUCAUGGUUUUCACAAUUAAGUUUUCUGGUUUUCAUUUGUAAUCCAUUUGUAGGCUGAGCUGUAUUGACAAUUCACAUAUCAGCAGACUUUGGAGCAUACAUACUUUAUGUUUUGUCUUUACAUCAAUAAACGGGCGAACUUUGACCACGCUUAUGACUAACCAGCUCACAUUGAUGGCAUUCUUAUGAUGAUUUGUCUCUCAGAACAAACAGUAUCAAAUUGCAGCUAACAAUCCAUUAUAUAUCAAACAUUAAAAUUCAAGCCAUGAUUUGCUUCACUCUAAAUUUUGGAAUGCCUUGGAUGCUGCCAUUGCCUUCUGGUCCCCGGUCUUCACUCUUGUGAGGCCUUUGGGAUGGGUAGUAUCAGCUGCCUGAUCCAGCUCGCUACAUACAGGGACCCAGUGGGCUGGUCCAGAUGCCGGGGGCAACUGGAGCAUUAUGGACGGGGCAGGGGGAGGAUGGCCAUCAAGAGAUCGGAGCAGUACUGGACCAAGGUUUAGGCAGCAAAGUGCCAAACUGGCAUAUGCUCCCAUACCUAUUUUGUAUUUGAUUUUAAUCUAUUUAACUUAUGUUAUUUCUUUUUUUCAUCUUUUUUCAUCCUCCUCGUCUCAAUAUAUGUUGAUCUUGAGUUGCUUUGGUUCCCAUGAUGUUGGGGCUUCUAUCCUGUUUUGGUUCUAUUUGUAAUUUUCCCUCUAAAAUUUUUCUAAUGCUUUAUUCUUGUGUAUGGUUCUGCAUGUUUGUCAAAGUGAUUUGUAAACCCCAGUUUUUAAGUACUAUACAAAGUUGUUUCUGUUUAUGUUAUUGAGGAUCAUCCUCAGGGAACAAUGAAUGCCUGUACAUAAUGUUAAGGCAAUCCAUCUCACAGUUAUUAAGACAUUUUUCUAGAAAUGACAGAAGUCAACAUCAAUGUGGCACUACGGGAAAGGAAAAGUCUUUAGGAGUCGUCCUCUGGGAACCACGAGUAUCUGCACACAAUCUCAGGGCAAUCAUUCAAAAGAAAUGUGCGUUGAUAUUUCAGUCUCAACGAAGUGACAGCCUUGCUGAUAAAGUGAUCUACACUACCAAGCUCAAGCGUGCCUAAAAAUGGAUGAGAGAAUUAUUCAGAGAGGCAGAGGGACUUGGAUUGAUGCGGGGCUACAGAAAACAACACAUACAAAGUUGUGAGGCUAGUUGUUUGGUUUUUAGGUUGUUUACUUGGUUGGAUGGAUGGAUUGGUUGCUGGAGGUUACAGAGUUGCCAGAGAGAACUAGACAGCUGGGCACAGGCCCAGUCAGUGUUUAUUUAUAAAUAAAUGCUUUGAAUAAUUUAGAGGAACC